UCCAGAACUUGGUAACUUAAUCAAUCUCGGGCUAUUUUACAUGGACAGCUGUGGACUCGGUGGACAAAUUCCUUCAACAUUUGCUAAGCUCAUCAACAUGAAAAUCCUGUAAGUUUUUUGUUUAUUCAGUACUUUGAGAUUUCUAUUCUGGGAUGAGCUUACUAUGAGUCAACUUUUUGAAUUUUAGCUAUGCAUCAGACAAUCCUUUCUCAGGAAAGAUACCUUCUUUCAUUGGGAAUUGGAGAAAACUGACUUCUUUGAGAUUUCAAGGGAACUCUUUUGAAGGCCCAAUACCAACCAGUUUUUCUCAACUGACUUCAUUGGAAUCUCUGCGAAUCAGUGAUAUAUAUUAUGUGAGCUCGUCUCUUGAUUUCAUA